CUUUGACCUCAAAUCAGGUAAGACUACCCG
rnacentral:rRNA from 1 species